rnacentral:lncRNA from 1 species
GUCUACAUUUCAUCAGUCUGUGUUUAUAACAGGGUCUACAUUUCAUCAGUCUGUGUUUAUAACAGGGUCUACAUUUCAUCAGUCUGUGUUUAUAACAGGGUCUACAUUUCAUCAGUCUGUGUUUAUAACAGGGUCUACAUAUCAUCAGUCUGUGUUUAUAACAGGGUCUACAUUUCAUCAGUCUGUGUUUAUAACAGGGUCUACAUUUCAUCAGUCUGUGUUUAUAACAGGUCUACAUUUCAUCAGUCUGUGUUUAUAACAGGUCUACAUUUCAUCAGUCUUUUGUUGCAGGACAUCUUCACCAUGGGUUCAAUCUGAAAUGAGUUAUUUCACAGAGUUACUCUUUAGGAGGUCCGUUACAUAUGAUAUGUCAGAUUUCUGAAAAAGUCAAUUUACUUUAAAUAAUCAGAACAUUAUAUCUGUAUCAACCACCUUUUAACUUGGCGCUAGAACGUUCUGUCCGUAUCAACCACCUUUUAACUUGGCGCUAGAACGUUCUGUCUGUAUCAACCACCUUUUAACUUGGUGCUACUUUCUGUUGAGAAGCAAUUGCUUGCUAUGAUUAAGGUUGGGUUAGGGAUCGCUGAAACGGCAUCGUGGACUAACGGCUCUCUCCAAUCUGGAUCGCUGAAACAGCAUCACGGCUCUCUCCAAUCUCGAUCGCUGAAGCAAUAUAAUUUUUUUUGAGACAACAUGUGAAUGCAGUUUCUAUCAGGCUGUAAUGCUGAAUUUCAGCAAUACAGAUUGGAUAGAACCAGUAAUGUUCAAAGUCUGUUGCUGUACCAUUAC